rnacentral:rRNA from 1 species
GAGAGGAGCUUGCUCUUCUUGGAUGAGUUGCGAACGGGUGAGUAACGCGUAAGUAACCUGCCUUGUAGCGGGGGAUAACUAUUGGAAACGAUAGCUAAUACCGCAUAACAAUGGAUGACACAUGUCAUUUAUUUGAAAGGGGCAAUUGCUCCACUACAAGAUGGACCUGCGUUGUAUUAGCUAGUAGGUGAGGUAACGGCUCACCUAGGCGACGAUACAUAGCCGACCUGAGAGGGUGAUCGGCCACACUGGGACUGAGACACGGCCCAGACUCCUACGGGAGGCAGCAGUAGGGAAUCUUCGGCAAUGGGGGCAACCCUGACCGAGCAACGCCGCGUGAGUGAAGAAGGUUUUCGGAUCGUAAAGCUCUGUUGUAAGUCAAGAACGAGUGUGAGAGUGGAAAGUUCACACUGUGACGGUAGCUUACCAGAAAGGGACGGCUAACUACGUGCCAGCAGCCGCGGUAAUACGUAGGUCCCGAGCGUUGUCCGGAUUUAUUGGGCGUAAAGCGAGCGCAGGCGGUUUGAUAAGUCUGAAGUUAAAGGCUGUGGCUCAACCAUAGUUCGCUUUGGAAACUGUCAAACUUGAGUGCAGAAGGGGAGAGUGGAAUUCCAUGUGUAGCGGUGAAAUGCGUAGAUAUAUGGAGGAACACCGGUG